AAUGAACGUUGGCGGCGUGGAUUAGGCAUGCAAGUCGAGCGAGAAGAGUUUGGUAGCUUGCUAUUGAACUCGGAAAGCGGCGAAAGGGAGAGUAACGCGUAGUUACGUGCCCCAGGGUUCGGAAUAGCCACGGGAAACUGUGGGUAAUGCCGAAUAACAUCUCCGGAUCAAAGGUGUGAUUCCGCCCUGGGAGCGGACUGCGUCCUACUAGCUAGUUGGCGGGGUAAUGGCCCACCAAGGCAACAAUGGGUAGCGGGUGUGAGAGCAUGACCCGUCUCACUGGGACUGAGACACUGCCCAGACACCUACGGGUGGCUGCAGUCGAGAAUCUUCGGCAAUGGGCGAAAGCCUGACCGAGCGACGCCGCGUGCGGGAUGAAGGCCCUCGGGUUGUAAACCGCUGUCGUAGGGGAGGAAGGCUCCAUGAAGAAUGGGGUUUGACCUAUCCUAGGAGGAAGUACGGGCUAAGUUCGUGCCAGCCGCCGCCGUAA
rnacentral:rRNA from 1 species